AAUAGGAAAAUAUUUGGUCAAUCCACCUUGUGUUUGAACACAAGUAAUAAGGCAAAAAAAAAGUGUGAGUUGUAUAAAUUAUUCAGCAGACACAACAAUAGAGAUCAAGUAAAAUCAUGAUUAGCUAGGAGAUAAAUUUAUCUAUUGGAGCCAUUCAAUAGCAGUUGGAGUUGUACCCGAUUAUCCCACUUUUUGCAAGGUUGGGGCAACGCUACCCAAACUAAUGCUCGCUUGUCAGAAGAUAAACGUAUGACUUGCUAUAACCAUGAUAUACCCAAAAUUAGAGAUAGGAAAUGUUAUAUUUCUCAUUACAUACUUUCAAAUUGGGCCCUCAAAGAAAAAUUUCUCCAACGCUAAAUUUUGUUUUGUUGUAGAUGCAUCUAUAAAAUGGGAGAUAAGAAGUUUGACAUUAAGAAUCACAUUAUCAAUGUCUAUAGGGAAUGUUAUCUCUCUCAGAUUUUAGAGCAAUUGUUAAAUUAGAGUGUUUAUUGGGUAACAAUAAUCUUAUUUCACAUUUACCAUGUCUUCAAACUUACACUCUCAGAAGAUUGCACUCAAGUUAAAUUAGAGCAAAAGUGGAAGCUAGUGAGCAGAACGUGCACGUUUGUGUGUGUGCGUGUGUGAUAACUUAAGGUAGCAGAGCAUUGCAUAAAUUAUUGACAUGUUAUGUUGCUCUUUUAGUAAAUAAGAUAUAGAUUGGCAAGUAAAAUGAAAUGGAUUAGGUGACAGCACAAUAGUCCAGUAGAGAAAUGAUUCUUAAAUUUGGUUAGCAUAAAAGACUGAAGAAAGGUGCACCUGUUAGCUUGGAAAAGAUUCAUGAAUAGACAUUUUUUAUACAUAAGAAACUUUGAACAAUUAAAAAAUAUUCAUGAAUUAUUAUAAUGAGAAACAUCAUUAAGUCCAUGUCCUAUGCUCCAUAGUGCUUUUGGAAAUCUCGAUUGAUUAUGUAAGUAUAACACGAGUGGGUUCUUUGAGGCGUUAUUACUGUCACAUUGUGCACUUUGAAGAGAUCCAUUAUUGAUAGCAAUUUAAUGUUUUUUGUACUAGUGAAAUAAAAUUGUUGAGUAAUAUAUUAUAAUCAUACUCAGUUACCGAAUCAAGAUUUGCAUAAUUAGGAUUAAAUAAGCCGCCAUUCAUAAGAGGUAUUUGUUAGGGCUCAAAAACACUGCUGCUACGGAGCUACCUCAAUCCACGAUGUGUUCCACCCCUGUCAAGAUGUUUUGAAAUCCUGGUUCAAAAAUUUGCAUAAAUUUAUAUAAAACACAAGGGCAAUAUAAGGAAUCUAAAAGAAUCUAAAGAAAAUCAAGUUGAGGAAUUCUGCAGCAGUGAAUCAUACAAGAAACUCAGAAGAAUUAAGAUCCGAGAUGGACUUUGCAACAAUGGCCUGAUCACCUUCGCAAUCAACAAUAGAGAAGAGGAAAAGAGCAGAAUAUUUACCUUUUGCGUAAUAGCGGAAGUUGGCGUUUGGCAAUGUAGUGACAAUUUGCAUUCGGAUUGAAAGAAACCAUAGGCAAGUCACUCAACAUGAAAUGAUAUGAAAAAUAAGAAACACAUUUGCAAUCAGCGGUAGAGAAGAGUUAUAGAGCAGUACUAUAGAAUGGUUGGAGGUGUUUGAAGGAAAUGCAAUGGCACAAUUGAGUAUUAGAUUCUGAAAUUGGUAGGUGUCAUAGGUGUUACAUGGAGACGUGGAGUCGUGGGUGAUUUAUUCAUGAGGAGAAAUAAGAAAUUGUGAUGUGAGCGAACAUGUAUUUUUUAUCGCCAAUUAUGUUAACAUUUUUUUUUGUUUAGCGCCAAAUAUAGUUGUGUUCUAAUAGGUAUUUUUUAGGACAUUUAAUUAAAAAUAUCUUAAUAUUUCUGUAGUAAAAAAUUAAUUUUUUUAGCAUGCUUGCAUGUUUCUUAUUUUAUCCAAAGCCUUAGUUAAUCUUUAGUAUAAUUUUCAUAAUUAAAAUAUUUUUUAAAUUGAAAUUGAUAGCUUCUUACUUUACAUCAUACAUUCAUAUACUGUGUUGCCUCUGUUUUUUUGCUCCUUUUUUGAAAUUUCUUUAGUAAACAAUUACCUCACUUUUUUCCAGGCAUCCAUCAUUCAUGCAAGAAACACCAUUUGUGUACUUGCUAUUGAGCUAAAUCUAUACUGUCUUGUAACCUUAAGAAAUUAAUUCUUUCUUUGGAUGGUAUCAUAAAUCCUUGUUAUCUAUCUAACCUCUCUAAUGGAAGACCUGAUCCCCUAGAAUUAAAUAAAUCAUGUUCUAUUAUUUAUGAGAAAUAUUUAGGAUAUAUUUUUAAUCUGCUUUUCAUGGAAUCUCAUAUUGAUUUUGUCUCGACCCUAUGGGGUGGUACUUUAAUCUUCAAUGUGAGGAUUUCUUGGAGCCCUGACUUUGAUGCAUUAAGUCAGGGGUUGGAGAACUUGUUAAAAGAAGCCAUUUCUUAAUCCUAGCAAGGGAAUAUUUUUUGGGGAUAGAGUAAUUCUUGAAGCAGGGGAGUCUGAAGCAUUCAUAUCACACUGACUUAAACCUACUCAAGUGCGAGUAGAUUGCCGAAGAGCUUGUUGUGUGCUGAAAGAAGUAGGUGUUGAUCAAUUGGGGAAUAAAGUAAUAUCAAUGUAGUCAAACCUAGCAAAAUCUUGAAUUGUGAUGAUUCAAAAUAUGCAUUGCAUUAUAAGUGACAUUCUUGGCAUGGAGUCAACAAUGUUUCACAAUAAAUGAAUACUAAUUCAUUAGGGUUAUUUGGGACAUCAACCCAAAAGAGCAGUAGUAUCCUAGUUUGAAAAUUUGGACCUCAUUCAACCAAAAGCCAAAGUGGGAAAGUAGAGGGACUUAAGUGUCAAAAGGCCAAUCUUUCAUUGUUUUGAAAAUAUAGCUUCCUUCAAGAAUGGAGAGCUUCAAUCAUAGAAAUUAGGGCUCACAGGGCCCUAUCACGGAUGAAAUGGGGAAUAUCAUUUGGUUUUAGCAUUUAAAGUUGGGGCUUACAUGAAUCAUAAACUGCACUGGUAGAUGGUGCCUUGGGCUUUGAUGAAAUUUAGUAUAAGGUUUAAGGAAUGUUGGGCUGACAGCAACAAGUUUAAAAACUUUAAUUUUUUUUUUUUUUUAAUUUGUUUGUUUCUUUAAGGAUUUAGCAGUAAGGUUGGCUACCUUAGGCAUUCAGUAGGGUUGACUCAAAAGGUCAAAAUCAAAGGAUUUAAAUUUUGGGAGAUGUCGAGCAAGGCAUUGGGCCAAGUUCAAAGGAACUAAGAAUAGGCUCAGGACAUCUCGAUUAUGUUUACCUCCUAAUGUGCGAAACAAGAGGAUCAAGUUUAAUCAGAAUGUACUGCUCAGGAAUGAAACUAGGUUCCCCCAGGACUAAGUGAUGUGUGGCUCUUGGAUGAUGCUUGUAAAGAGAAGGAUUUGGACUCAACCUAGUUUAAUAUCCUAAAUCACGCUUGGAUUUGGUCUUCGUUGGGAAUCCAAGAUAAGAUUUGUUGCUGGUUUUAUUUUCCUUGAACACCCUCGAGUAGUAGAGAACAAAACUAGGGAAAAGCAAGCGAUGUUUCACUGAGGAAUAGAAUAGCUUUGUCAAGGACAAGAAGUGUCAAUUCAUUGAGAAUCUAAGAUGGGUUUGGCAUGAGUUUUGUUUACCCAGACCAUGCUUUAUAGGGCUAAACUAGUGUUCAUGUUGGGUGGCUGAAUUGAGAUGAGGCCCCCCAUGAACUUGUAACGUAUUCAUUUUACGCAUAUAUGAACUAAUAUCAAAAGUCUUGUUGAGGAACUAGUGGAACAUCAAUAUGAGUUUUGGUCACUUAGAUAUUGUGGGGAGCUAAACUAGGAGAGAAAGGGGUUGGGUUAUGUGAAUCUAACCGUGGUCCAUCCUGUAUAUGGACGAACCGGAGGGACUUGGCCUCCCUGAAGAUUUUGAAGUGAAUUGUGUUGUAGGUUUUGGAGCAUCAAUCUCAACAUCAAAGCGAAGGGCAAUAUCUGAAUUUGGAUGGCACCCCUCGUUAGACUAUCUGCUUGGAACCCAACCGGGGAUGCCUCUACAGGCUUUAGUGGCAAGCUACAGAAAUUUUCCUUGCACCACCAAGUUCAUGGGCGUCAAGUUCCGUUAAUAUGAAUGACCCUGUUCAAAUGGACAUUAAUAGUAUAAUGGUUAUAUGCUGUUAUGAAAAUCACUAUAACAUAUUUUUAAAAACAAUUAUAAUGUUCAUUAAUAUUCUUUCAUGAAACUCUCAUAUUUAGAAGUACUUUUACAUUAACUAUGAACUUUUUUUUUCCAGUUUAGAGUUUCAUCCAUAAGCAUUGUGAUUACUUGCUGGCUUGAUAUUAUCAGACCAGAUUUAUUUGUUGACUAGUAUAAAUUUCGGUUAAGAUAUUUUCAGUUAAUGGUUAGAAUCAUUGAAUGACAUAAUGGUUUGGAUUAAAUAUAAUAAAUGGCUCAGAUCUUCUGUUAGUGGCAUUUCAAGAAAACAAUUGAUUUGAUCAACCAUCCCUGCCAUGUUGGGUUCUCUAAACAAAGAUUUCGUGAUCUAUUUUGGCGUUCAUCAUUGUUAUCUUACAGAUCCCUCCAACAAGGGCUCGAUCCCCAAAGCUUGGACGUCACAAGCCCUCUAACACUGCGGCUAACAAUUCCUCAGAAGAUAAUGACUCAACUCAAUUCCCCGAGUCUGAGCUCAACUCAGUCAAGCAGUAUGGAGCUGCAGCAACUGCACUUGAUGGUGCAGCUCCCAAGAAAACUGCCACCCAGAAGUCAAUUUCAAAACCAACUUCUCUGAAAUCAGCAACUACUAGACCUGAAACUAAAGCUACUGCUUCAAAGAUUAAAGCUUCAAACAUAAAGAAAAAAAUGGAAAAAGGAAAGGCGGAAGAAAGAGAGAACGAAGAAGAACAUGAGAUCAAACCUGUUGAAGAAUCUCCUGUAGAUGCCGCUGCCGAAGUUGAGGAAGUUUCAUAAAAAUCAUUUGGAGGAAAGCACUCAGUACACCGAAGCUGGAAUGGGGGAAUGAAAAGCUUUUUUAAAGGAAUGAUCAACAAACUUAACAUACGGAGAUGAACAAACAAUCAUGCAAAGCUGAGGGAGAAAUUAUAACAAACUUUAAAAAUACUUUUACUUUGUGUCUUUAAACUACUUCACCUACAAAAUUAUGUUGAUUUUGGAGUUUGAUGUUUUUAUCAUUUCAGUGGUCAAGUUAUUGAUAGUUAAUGUAUUCUUUCAUCAGCGUA